UAGAUCACUGAUUCUCAACCAGGGUGCUACAAGCUCUUUCAAAGGGUGCUGCCAGGUUUGAGGAGAUAAGCGCAGAAGUGCAGGCUCAGUCCCUGCUAGAACCUUUUGCAAGGAGAGAUCACAAGCCUCAGCUGUGCAGCCAAGAUCAUGCUUGAUUGGAGCAGAGAGCCAGCGGGAGAGCCUAAGAAGCCCUAGGAACUAAGGCUUGGUGGCGAGUGGACAUCAGAGCGAGCUGAGCACUGGAUGGGCGAGGAGCAGCUGAGCUGCUCACAUUUAUUUAUUCUGAUAAAAGACAGACUCUCGGGUAUGGCAGGAACUAAAUCUGAAGCCUACAGCAAAAAGGCUGGGUGCAGAUAGGACUUUAAGUAAUUAAAUAACCAGAGGUAUGAGGCGGGAGUCUAGGGGUAGGAGGAGUUCCCAAAACUUGGCCCUUAAGGUCAGUCGGACGAUCCCAAAGAACACAGUGCUGCACAAACCUAGGCUCAUUCUUGGUAUUCCUUCCUUGCCCAAGGAUUGACUGUUCUCAGAUCACAUAUCACCUCCUAUUAAUCUUCCAUCAAGGUUGUGGUGGGUGAGAUUAAGCAAUGGAAGGAACAGUCUGUCCUGAAGGAUAGAGUGAACCAAACCUUUCCCUGUCCAGAGACCUGGAAUUACCCAGUCACCAAGACUUGUUAGCCUGUCACAGGUGGCAACUGAGACUUGGUGACACUGAUACUAUAUUUAACCAGGUUUAUCUUAAACCAGUUUCAGCUAUUUUGAACCUGGUUUAUGUUCUGUUUCAGGUUUAAACCAGUUUCUGAUCACUUAAACUGGUUUAUGUGUAACUUCUGGCCCUAGCCUAAAUGCAUUUGAAAGUUGGUGCAGAAAUCACUGGUCUCUGUUUUAAGUAGGAUUUCAUACAAAGACCAUAUUUCACCUGUGCAUUGCGAUAUUUGCUGGCUGACAGUUCCUUUGGGGGUUAUUGAUUGCAACAUAUAAAUGGCCUGGCCUAUUUGAGAGUCUGUCUGGGAAAUAUCAUGGAAUUUGUAAUUAGGUAAGGUGCUUGAGCUUGUCUCAAGUCCAAGAAAGAGAUAAUGAGCAGUAUUCUUACUGUGGUGUUGUGGUUUCUGGAAUUUGCUCCCCUCCUCAUUUAAUUUGAGCUUAGCUUUGCUAAAUUUUCAAGGUUCAAGAGUCAACUGUUCUCCCAAGCUUUUUCAAGUAAGAGGCUUGGAUUGGAUGUGAGUGAGUUUAAUUUUCCACACACAGCUGAGAACAUAGCAUGAAAGACUUUUCUGAAUCAUAGCAGGAAUAUUUAUACACUAUGAAAGUCUAGAAGUUUGAGGUAACUAUGUUUAGGGCUGGAAAAUGUUACAAAAUAUGGCUGGGAGGGACUUCUGGAGGUCAUACUUGUUGAGGUGAAAUCUUUGAAUCUUUUUGAUAUAUUAAAAGAUUUUAUAAUCAUAUAAACUAUUAUGUGAGGUCAUAGAGAUUACUGUUAUCUGCAUAAUAAAUUUAAUCUCUACUCUUUUGUUAAGUGAGCCAUUUAGGAAGGACACUUCAAAAAUAACUAGAAUUUGCUGAGUAUAUUUAUAUGUUAAUUUUUAUAACUUUUUUAUUUGAAUGAGCUUUUAGCAACCCAAAUUGUCUUCCUAUUUUGAAUAAUCAAG